rnacentral:rRNA from 1 species
CGGAGGUCCCGAGCGUUGUUCGGAUUUAUUGGGCGUAAAGGGUGCGUAGGCGGCGGAGUAAGUUGGGUGUGAAAUCCCGGGGCUCAACCUCGGAAUUGCAUUCAAUACUGCUUCGCUCGAGUACUGGAGAGGAGGCUGGGAUUUACCGUGUAGCAGUGAAAUGCGUAGAUAUCGUAAGGAAGGCCGGUGGCGAAAGCGAGCCUCUGGACAGUUACUGACGCUGAUGCACGAAGGCCAGGGGAGCAAACGGGAUUAGAUACCCCGGUAGUCCUGGCAGUAAACGGUGCGCGUUUGGUGUGGGGGGAUUCGACAAUCUCCGCGCCGGAGCUAACGCGUUAAACGCGUCGCCUGGGAAAUACGGUCGCAAGAUUA